rnacentral:rRNA from 1 species
AGCGAACGCUGGCGGCAGGCCUAACACAUGCAAGUCGAACGAACUCUUCGGAGUUAGUGGCGGACGGGUGAGUAACACGUGGGAACGUGCCUUUUGGUUCGGAAUAACUCAGGGAAACUUGUGCUAAUACCGAAUGGGCCCUUCGGGGGAAAGAUUUAUCGCCAUUAGAGCGGCCCGCGUCUGAUUAGCUAGUUGGUGAGGUAACGGCUCACCAAGGCGACGAUCAGUAGCUGGUCUGAGAGGAUGACCAGCCACACUGGGACUGAGACACGGCCCAGACUCCUACGGGAGGCAGCAGUGGGGAAUCUUGCGCAAUGGGCGAAAGCCUGACGCAGCCAUGCCGCGUGAAUGAUGAAGGUCUUAGGAUUGUAAAAUUCUUUCACCGGGGACGAUAAUGACGGUACCCGGAGAAGAAGCCCCGGCUAACUUCGUG